rnacentral:rRNA from 1 species
UACUUAGUGGCAGACGGGUGAGUAACAUGUGGGUAUCUACCCUUUGGCCUGGAAUAACACGAGGAAACUUGUGCUAAUACCGGAUAAGUCUUUACGGAGAAAGCUUUAUGCACCAUUGGAUGAGCCCGCACUUGAUUAGUUUGUUGGUAGGGUAAUGGCCUACCAAGACUAUGAUCAAUAGCUGAUUUGAGAGGAUGAUCAGCCACAUUGGGACUGAGACACGGCCCAAACUCCUACGGGAGGCAGCAGUGGGGAAUCUUGCACAAUGGAGGAAACUCUGAUGCAGCGAUGCCGCGUGAGUGAAGAAGGCCUUUGGGUUGUAAAGCUCUUUCGUCGGGGAAGAAAAUGACUGUACCCGAAUAAGAAGGUCCGGCUAACUUCGUGCCAGCAGCCGCGGUAAUACGAAGGGACCUAGCGUAGUUCAGAAUUACUGGGCUUAAAGAGUUCGUAGGUGGUUGAAAAAGUUGGUGGUGAAAUCCCAGAGCUUAACUCUGGAACUGCCAUCAAAACUUUUCAGCU